UCCGUGCUCAAAGGGACCCGGGCCCCCUCGGCGUCGGCGGCCCGGCCGGCCCCAGUGCCGCGGGGCGGCGUGCGGGCAGGGGGGCCUGCCACCGCUCGGGAGGGGCGGCUCCGCGCAGACGCUCCCUGGGUGGGGCGAGUACCCCGCCCAGCCCGUGGCGCCGGGCAGGCAGCGAGCAGCCGCCCUCGCCCUCAGGCCCGGCCGGGCCGUGUGAAGAGCGGGCGCGGCAGGACGAUACUCGCCCCUCGUAACCCCCUUUUUGCACCAGUCCCGCAAACAGCCUUUCGGGGGGGGGGGGGGCUAAGGGGACACGGCGAGAGCGACAGGGAGAAGCGUCCAAUGGGCUUCCUCGCCCCGCCUCAUUGGCCUCCUCCCCGCUUCUGGCCCGGCAGAGUUGGCGGCCGGAGCCUAUGGGCGCCGCGCUGGGGGCGCGGCCGAGCGCUGGUCGUGAGGGUUGCGGGCCAAUAGGGGAGAAGAUGUGAGGCAGCCCCCGCCCCGCCCGAGCUGGGGCCGCAGCCAAUAAGACGCGCGGGGGGGGGGGGGAGGCGGCGAGCGGGGGUUCCGUGUGGAAAGAACAGGGGGCUCGGGUGCAAAGUUUCGCUUCAAACCGUCUGCAAAGAGCGGCCGAGGAGGGGGAGUUGUUGGAGACCGACGCCCCGCUCGGCCCGGCUCCUCCUGCCGCCGCCGCCGCCUCUCGCGUUCCCUUCGCGGCGGUCCUUGCCCCGCCAGAUGUGGCCUUCAGGAACACCCCAGGCACCCGGCCGAGCAUCUCCCCCAGAUAAGAAAGUGCCCAAGACACAGCAAAGAUGACGUGUUCUGGGAGGUCCUGCAGAGCUCCAAUGCAGAAAAAAGAGCAAGGCUCACCCAAAGUCCUUCCAGCAUUUUAUGACCAGGCUUGGCUGCGAUCUUCCAUUCACGAGACAAGUCAUGUUGUCAGCUUGCCUCCUUGGUGAAAAAUUCAGGCUGUCUCUUG